rnacentral:rRNA from 1 species
GACGAACGCUGGCGGCGUGCUUAACACAUGCAAGUCGAACGGAGUGGCGAACGGGUGAGUAACACGUGGGUGAUCUGCCUUGCACCUCGGGAUAAGCUUGGGAAACUGGGUCUAAUACCGGAUAGUGCAAGAUGAGCUCGCGGCCUACCGGCAUGUUGGUGGGGUAAUUGCCUACCAAGGCGUCGACGGGUAGCCGGCCUGCGAGGGGGUACGGCAACAUUGGGAACAAGGUACGGCCCUGAAUCCCACGGGCGGCAGAAGUGUGGAAUAGUGCACAAUGCUCGCAAGCCGCAUGCAGCAACGCCGAGUAGGGGAUGAAGGCUUUCGGGUUGUAAACUCCUUUGGAAAGGGACGUGGUACCUGUAUAGAUAGCACCGACUAACUACGUGCCAGCAGCCGCGGUAAUAC